rnacentral:lncRNA from 1 species
AGGGGAUAAGGAUGAAGACCUCCCUGCUGCAGAUUAGUGGAAUUCCACUAACAUAGUGAGAAAUGACCAUAAUGCCCCUCGACUUAAGUCCGUUUAGCGACCUUGGAUCAGAUACCUUUCGUAGGUUCUUCCGAAAGUCCGAUUGAGCUCAAAUUUGGCAGGAAUGUUCGUUUUUACUUAACAAGUCCACUGAAAUUUUAACAUUUCAGUUUCGACCUCGUUUGGUCACUGCGAACUGUCCCGAACUGUAACCUUUAUCAGAUGACUUCCAGAUGCUAUUUCUCUCUCUACAGGUGUCAGAAAAAUCUGAAACUUCAAAUUUAGCCUCAUAAAAAUGUUCCUGACAUCUCUGCCAAUUUUCAUAAUUUUCUGACACUGUGCAUUUUCUGCUAAUUUUCUCAGUCCCGUUCUUUACAGAAAAUUCUAAAUUUUCCGUUUUCACUCCGAUUUCACCCAAACAUGUCCAAAAGAUACCAAGGGACCUUCCCAAGCUACCAAUUUAAUUUGGAAGCAAUCUCUUUUCAUUUUGACAUUAUUUGAGCCGAAUUAGAAAUAGAAUCGGCUCCAAUUCCAUUUCAUGGCCUUUUUGCACUACCACUUCGCACGGAGCUCUUCAAAACCCUUUGAAAACACACCCUUGGCUUUACCAAAACUUCACAAUUGAUUCGAAGAUGCCACAAUUUAUCCUCACGCCUUACUUUAAUUCUUUUAAUCAAAGUUAGCGUCGGAAAUCCGAAAAUUCUCUUUACUUUUCGUUUCGCGCCCAAUUGGCGCCGAAACACUUAUUUAUCUCCAGAAUUCAUUCCAACGCAUCACAAUUCACUCUG